GACGUAGGGCGCGAGCGUUUGUCCGGAUUUAUUGGGCGUAAAGAGCUCGUAGGCGGUUUGUCGCGUCGUUCGUGAAAAACUCACAGCUUAACUGUGAGCUUGCGGUCGAUACGGGCAGGCUAGAGUUCGGUAGGGGGAGACUGGAAUUCCUGGUGUAGCGGUGAAAUGCGCAGAUAUCAGGAAGAACACCAAUGGCGAAAGCAGCUCUCUGGGACGGUACUGACGCUGAGACGCGAAAGCGUGGGGAGCAAACAGG
rnacentral:rRNA from 1 species